UAGGGAAUCUUCCACAAUGGACGCAAGUCUGAUGGAGCAACGCCGCGUGAGUGAAGAAGGUCUUCGGAUCGUAAAACUCUGUUGUUAGAGAAGAACACGAGUGAGAGUAACUGUUCAUUCGAUGACGGUAUCUAGCCAGCAAGUCACGGCUAACUACGUGCCAG
rnacentral:rRNA from 1 species